UGCUUUGCUGACGAGUGGCGGACGGGUGAGUAAUGUCUGGGAAACUGCCUUUCAGAGGGGGACAACAGUUGGAAACGACUGCUAAUACCGCAUGACACAUAGAUGUCGCAUGGCAUUUAUGUCAAAGAUUUAUCGCUGAAAGAUGGCCUCGCGUCUGAUUAGCUAGUUGGUGAGGUAACGGCCCACCAAGGCGACGAUCAGUAGCCGGACUGAGAGGUUGAACGGCCACAUUGGGACUGAGAUACGGCCCAGACUCC
rnacentral:rRNA from 1 species